rnacentral:rRNA from 1 species
AUUGAACGCUGGCGGCAGGCCUAACACAUGCAAGUCGAACGGUAACAGGAAGAAGCUUGCUUCUUUGCUGACGAGUGGCGGACGGGUGAGUAAUGUCUGGGAAACUGCCUGAUGGAGGGGGAUAACUACUGGAAACGGUAGCUAAUACCGCAUAACGUCGCAAGACCAAAGAGGGGGACCUUCGGGCCUCUUGCCAUCGGAUGUGCCCAGAUGGGAUUAGCUAGUAGGUGGGGUAACGGCUCACCUAGGCGACGGUCCCUAGCUGGUCUGAGAGGAUGACCAGCCACACUGGAACUGAGACACGGUCCAGACUCCUACGGGAGGCAGCAGUGGGGAAUAUUGCACAAUGGGCGCAAGCCUGAUGCAGCCAUGCCACGUGUAUGAAGAAGGCCUUCGGGUUGUAAAGUACUUUCAGCGGGGAGGAAGGGAGUAAAGUUAAUACCUUUGCUCAUUGACGUUACCCGCAGAAGAAGCACCGGCUAACUCCGUG